UGUGGCCAUGGCAAACCUGAAAAAACAAUCUGCCUUGUGCUGCAGUCCAAGCAAUGUUCAAAGAUUCCUGUCAGAGGACCGAAAAGCCUCCUGUAAAGUGCAAACAACCUCAGCCCCCACGUUGACACCAUGGCUCACAACCUGGAUUUUGGUGAGCCUACCCAAAGUGUCUUUUGCUCCCUGAAAUCCCUGGCAGCCAAAAGAUCUGUGAUGAGAGGUAGUACCAUCCAGCAACAGUCCAGUGAAAGAUCCCUUCCACAAUGAGAAACGACAUGCAGAUGAAAUGGAACAGUGCCUAGAAUGCCAGCCAAAAGUGAGAUAUGACUGCCUGCUUCUCACCCCAGAGAUCUUGCAGCCCCUGAUAGAAGUGGUAGAACAAGAGUUUCCUUAAUGGCAGCUGUAACAGGAAAUCAUGGUUUUAAAAGUAUCACAGCUGCCAAGUAAUUAAAAUGUGACAUUGUUAAUAUGAAAUACGCACACAAUGGAUUCUCAUAAGGGUCAUAAUCACUGUAUGGGGAAAUGUUUAGUGUCGAAGACGUUGAGCCAGACCCAGGAAACCCUAGGCUGAUGAGGAGCAUGGAAGUCAGGAAAAAAA
rnacentral:lncRNA from 10 species